GGAAGCGGACGCCUGAUAAACAAACAAGGGAAGCAGGCUAUAACAUAGGCUAGGAAACACGAAGGCCAGCAUAACAUCACAGACGGGCUUUCCUACAUCCUUCAAACACAAUGAAAACCAAAAACACAGGCAUUCAGACAGGCUGAAGUUGCAGGAGUUUUGUAAAGUAAUGACAAAGAUCCCAGAAAUGUCAAAGGCUACAGUACAUAUGAAGGACCCUGAACAUCUAGAGCAGAUUCUGGAGUCCAUUAAGCCCUCUGGACCCAAUACUUUACAGGUGAUCUCAGAUUUUGAUAUGACACUCACAAGAUUUGCCUACAAUGGGAAGCGAUGUCCCACCUCCCACACUCUUCAGCCAGAUGCAAAUUGAAGUGCAGGCACUGUUAAGUGCCCUUUGCAGGUUGAUUCAGGACUUUGCUGUCAGAUUUAUACUGGAUCCAGGAGUUCGUGAUGGCAACAUCAGAGAAGCGACCAAUUACACAGAAGAUUCUGGCAGAGCAGCGACAAUCACAAAAUGCCUGGGAGAGAUGAUUGUCAAAGACCUCCAGCCUCUGUCCAUAGAGGAAGAAGAGGGUUUCUAGGGAUUAGAGAGGACCCUUGAUCCCAGAUAUAAAAUCCUUAUCAGAAUAACAAUGACUGAGAAUCAUUUAUUGUCUAUGUGUAAUGAGUGAAAAGGUAAAGUCAGGACAAUUCUGCAAAAUGCACAAAGUAUUGUGCUUGCUGGUAAGUGUCUGGUUCAGUCAUAAAUGUUGGCUUGAUAUGAACCCAUUCAUAUGCCAAUGAAAGGCUGCAGUAUCUUCCUAUAUACCAACUUACAUCUUUAUUCUUCUGAAAUCCUUGGCAGAAAUGUUUUGCAUGACACAUUAGGACACAAAGAAAAUGCCUGCUGUGAUAGUGUGGAGAUCUACCAUAAUGGCCAGUGGGGAACAGUGUGUGAUGAUCACUGGGACAUAAAGUGUUGGUGUGCAGACAGCUGGGAUGUGGCCGAGCUCUCAGGGCCCCUACCAGUGCCCGCUUUGGUCAGGGAAGUGGCCCAGUAUUUCUGGUUGAUGUUGGUUGUUUUGGAAGUGAAGGCUCCCUCAAACAGUGCUCUCAUCUUGGAUUUGGAACACAACUGUAACCAUGGUGAAGAUGCUGGUGUUACAUGUUCAGUUAUGGAGAAACCUUUAUAGGUUAGAAAACAAAUACAACAUCCAGUGAUACUUGAAAUAAUGCAGUGAUCCUGAAGGACACUGCAUCACUGCCACCUGUUUCUGUCAACACAGCACUACAUUUGAAAAAAUAGAUUUGCAUUACCUGAAGAAAAUGCAUAGUGCUUGCAAAGAGCUGAAAGGUGCUGGUUACAAUGGCAUUGCUAGUGGUUGCUGUGGUGUUCUACAUUUACAGCAUUUAGCAGACAUUUUUAUCCAAAGCGACUUACAAUUCCAACUAAACACAACUUAUGCAACUGAGGGUUAAAGGCCUUGUGCAGGGGCCAACAGCAUCAACCAGGCUGUUGUGGGACUUGGACUGGCAACUGGCAACCUUCAAGUACCUUAACCACUGAGCUACCACUGCGUUCUAGGUUGUUGCUCCGCUUUUGUUAAGUAGUUGCUAGGUAGUUACUAUGCUGUUACUACGUGGAUGCUAACCAAUUGCUGUGGUAUCCCAGGUUGUUGCUAGUGUGGUACUAAGUGUUUUUUAUGUACUGCCUGUGGAUGACUCCAUUUAGUUUUAACACUGUUCAUCUGUAAAUGUGCUCAGUAAAACCAACAUUGUAAAUGUUUUUAAAUGUUCACAAUAACAUGGCAUGUUUG